GAUGAACGCUGGCGGCGUGCCUAAUACAUGCAAGUCGAGCGAACAGAUGAGGAGCUUGCUCCUCUGACGUUAGCGGCGGACGGGUGAGUAACACGUGGAUAACCUACCUAUAAGACUGGGAUAACUUCGGGAAACCGGAGCUAAUACCGGAUAAUAUAUUGAACCGCAUGGUUCAAUAGUGAAAGGCGGUUUUGCUGUCACUUAUAGAUGGAUCCGCGCCGCAUUAGCUAGUUGGUAAGGUAACGGCUUACCAAGGCGACGAUGCGUAGCCGACCUGAGAGGGUGAUCGGCCACACUGGAACUGAGACACGGUCCAGACUCCUACGGGAGGCAGCAGUAGGGAAUCUUCCGCAAUGGGCGAAAGCCUGACGGAGCAACGCCGCGUGAGUGAUGAAGGUCUUCGGAUCGUAAAACUCUGUUAUUAGGGAAGAACAAAUGUGUAAGUAACUAUGCACGUCUUGACGGUACCUAAUCAGAAAGCCACGGCUAACUACGUG
rnacentral:rRNA from 1 species